AUAAACAUCAGACCCUUCGGCAUAUGGGCGCUCCGUUCCAGUCCAUCGCUGGCACACGCUCGCCCAUUGCUGCUGAAAUCCACCCGCGCCUGUGAUGCUCGCCUACCAUAGCUUGCUCACGCGCGUCCACAUAUACGCUGCCGCCAUCGACUACAUAGGCCGCCGGGCUGCUCGUCGCCGAAACACGUCGCUGGCCGUUCGUCGCUGUAUCGCUCUCCUCCGGCCGCCCGACAUACACCCUACCAUAGGUGUUGUUGUCUAGUUGCCGCAGUAUAGCACCAGUACGGACGUUGCCGAUUUGUCCAAUCAUCCUCAAUACCAAGAGAUACUGCAGCUCUAGCCUCAAGCCAAGGCUGCCAAAAAUCAGCUUGCCCAAGCUCACGCUGCUGCCGAUAUACGCGUACAUACGCGUUGCCGGCCGAUCGUCGCCGACGCUGCCGUACGGACACGCCGGCACCUGCAUCUCCGACGCUAAGGUAAUAAAAGAAGGUUCAUACUCUCCUUUUCCCAUGGUGAUUGUUGCUCCAUACAACACAUAUAUUUUCUAGGUUCAAAUCAUAUCCCUACAUAAUCCAAAGUUCAUAUCUUGUUUGGUCUCAUGAUGAUCUUCGGUCUCAUGUGAUACACUUCAAGAAUAGAACCAAAGUUCAUAUCUUGUUUGGUCUCAUGAUGAUCUUCGAUCUCAUGUGAUACACUUCAAGAAUAGAACCAAAUUCAUAUCUUGUUUGGUCUCAUGAUGAUCUUUGAUCUCGUGGGAUCCACUUCAAGAAUAGAACCAAGUUCAUAUCUUGUUUGGUCUCAUGAUGAUCUUUGGUCUCAUGUGAUACAAUUCAAGAAUAGAACUAAAAUAGAUAUUGAUUGGAUUGCACAUAUUGCUCUAACUUGCCCAAAUUAAUAUAUCCCUUGUUUUGGUCUCAUGGUGAAAUCCCAUGAAGAUACAAAUCGGGAUAAUCAACCAAAGCCUACUUUGGUCUCAUAGUGAUCAUUGGUCCUAUGAUGAUGCAAAUUAGGUGCACAUGAUAAAAUUAUGCUUGCUCCGGUCACAUGGUGAUUUUGAUCCCAUGUUGAUAUAGAAAUAGAAGUAAAACUCAUGUUGUUUUGGUUUCAUAUGCUAUUAGAAAUUAAGACAUAUUUGCUAGUCCCCUAAAUAGAUGAAUUAUUGUUGCAUGCCAUCUGCCUAGCUAGCCAUCAACAUGUGAUCUAAGCUGGUUGUGUAGUAUUAAAUCUGAGAACCAAACCCAUGCGCAUACCCAAAUAUGUUAAGAAUGCCUUGGCCAUGUAAAAUUGGCCGUAACACAUCAAACAGUAGGCGUGUUGCAUGCUGUCCUAUUCAUGUUUAACCAGUAGUGUGCACUCCCUCAUAUGGAUGCAUGUACCGGUUAUAUUAAACUACAAAGGUCAUCUACCUUUGAGAAAAUAUUAGCACACCAUGUUCUUAGUACUGAAAUAAAUAUGGAAAUUAAAUCUAUGCAUGACAUUUGCUUUAUGUAUAGUUUAGUCGCAUAUAGCUUGACUGAAUUAAUAAUUGUCAUCAUGCCCAUGUAAAAUAUAAAUAGAUAAAUAUUCUCUUGUUUGGUUACACUACAAGCGUACAUUCUAUGCUAUGAUAGUGAUAAUACAAUCUAAGAGAAAUAACCAUGCUUCACUCGGUUAUGCUACACGUGGGCAUAUUGCCACACGGCGCUAGUAAUAAUACAAGUGAAGUGAAACUUAAUGAAAUAUGUUCAUAUAGAAACACUAGUCUCUCAUACAAAACUAGUGCAGUAACAUAGGUGUUGAAACCAUAUUGCACCACCAAGUUGCAUGCAUAUAUUCAAUGAAAAGUCAGCAUGCUCACAAAUCAAUAUAUACUCUUGUUUGGUCACACUACAUGCUGCUAUGAUAGUGAUGAUACAAAUAAGAAAGAAAUAAUCAUGCUUCACUCGGUUAUGCUACACGUGGGCGUAUUGUCACACGGCGCUAGUAAUAAUACAAGUGAAGUGAAACUUAAUGAAAUAUGUUCAUAUAGAAACACUAGUCUCUCAUACAAAACUAGUGCAUUAACAUAGGUGUUGAAACCAUAUUGCACCACCAAGUUGCAUGCAUAUAUUCAAUGGAAAGUCCGCAUACUCCCAAAUCAACAUAUACUCUUACUUGGUCACACUACAUGCUAUGCUAUGCUAGUGAUGACACAACUAAGAAGAAAUAACCAUACUUCUCUCGGUUAUGCUACACGUGGGCAUAUUGCUACACGGCGCUAGUUAUAACACAAGUGAAGCCAAAGUUAAUCAAAUUCUCAUGUGGCAUACCUAUCCAAGAAACAUAGGGUAAAGUCAUGCCUAGCCAAAUCAACUUGCGUUUUAUACUAUCCAUCAUGCUAGUAAUAUAAAUGAAGUUGAGUAAAAAUUAAACUUGUUGCAUGUUAAAAAUAUAGCAUGCGCUAUAUAAUAAAUCAUGGUACAAUUUAAAAUGUCCAACAAAGUCCAACUAGCUAGGCGGAUCGCUGAAAUAGAUUUAUCUAGUCUAGAAUACAAAAUGAACUAAGCUCUCCAUAUGAGCUAUCAUGCUCCAAAUGGCAUUCAAAAGUCUGCAUAUAUGUAUCUGCUGCUAUAAAAUUCCUGAAAAUGGAUCAGCAGCCCCCCAUGAUAAUAUCCACUUGCACAUACCUCAACGUGUAUGCAAGACCAAAAUUAAACAAAAAUAGAUGCAGGUUAGUCUGAGUUAUAAUCGGGUAGCUUGCAUUCCUCAAAUACUCUCAUGUCGAAAGGAAAUAAAAUAUUAAACUAUGUACAUCAUGUAGACCCAUUAGUACUAAACAGUACUACACCCAUUCGUACUAGAAAAAAUAUGCAGAUCUAGAUAUAGAAUAGCUACCGAUGCAUAUAGAAAAUCAUUGUGCAUGGUCCAGGGCCAAAAUCGCAUGCACCAUUCUGAUGCUCUUAUUGGUUGGCUAAUGAAACAACCUCAUGGACAAUUAAAAGUAUACUUUAUGAUCUAAGCCGACUGAAUAUAGUAUAUAUCUGAUGCAUGCGCUUUACUUGUACUUCCCAAACUAGUACAAGUGUCAAAUAUUCUGCUUGCACCUCUUAUACUAGUGCAAGUGAAAAAUGAGACUUAUACACUAAAUAUAAAUGAUGCCAAAAUAUGAUAACUUAAAGAAGAUGAAGUGCUCCCUGAGCAUACUGACGACGACGACGGCGGCAGUGAGGAGGACUUUAGUUUCUACAAUUUGUAAUACUCAAUGUUGUAGUGCCAUGUAAUAGCUUUUGUUGGAAUUCUUAAUCAGGGGUUUUCUCUCCGGAGAUGUAAUUAACAGUUCUUUUAUGUAAAUGUGAGAGUUCUGGAAAUAAAGUACCUGCAAUGUUUGA